CUACGGGUGGCAGCAGUGAGGAAUAUUGGUCAAUGGGCGAGAGCCUGAACCAGCCAAGUCGCGUGAAGGAAGAAGGUUCUAUGGAUUGUAAACUUCUUUUGUAAGGGAAUAAAAAGAGUUACGUGUAACUUAUUGUAUGUACUUUACGAAUAAGGAUCGGCUAACUCCGUGCCAGCAGCCGCGGUAAUACGGAGGAUCCAAGCGUUAUCCGGAUUUAUUGGGUUUAAAGGGUGCGUAGGCGGACCCAUAAGUCAGUGGUGAAAGUUUGCAGCUUAACUGUAAAAUUGCCAUUGAAACUGUGGGUCUUGAGUGUAAAUGAGGUAGGCGGAAUGUGUUGUGUAGCGGUGAAAUGCUUAGAUAUAACACAGAACACCAAUUGCGAAGGCAGCUUACUAGAAUACAACUGACGCUGAGGCACGAAAGCGUGGGGAUCAAACAGGAUUAGAUACCCUAGUAGUC
rnacentral:rRNA from 1 species